GCUUUUCAAACGUGGUUUAUCGGUGGCGGGGUUUAUCCAGAAGGGGUUUAGCUUGGGAGUAGGUGUGACAGGAGAGGGUGUGGUUGCGGCGGCGGGGGCGGGGGCAGGAGCAGGCGGAAUCUAGAGGUGGCGGCUGCUGCUGGGGGUAGCCACAGCUACCGCGGGCUACGCAGCUCCAGCUGCAGCGGAGGAAGGUAUCAGUACGCUCCAGCUUAGGAGCCGAGGGAGGGAAGCUGUGGUGGCUACCACACAGCUCCACCUAGGCAGCUACAGCGGGGGGAGAGGGCGUGGUCUGGGGCGCCUCUUCAGGCUCGGAGGAGGUAACCGGACGCUCGCACCGCUACUGUUCGCGAUCUCCUUGGCAACGACGAACCGAGGAGGCGACAGAGUCCCAGCAGCGCGGUGGUGGUACGACAGCGCGAGGAUAAGAGGCGUCGGGAGGUGCCGAGCCGCGACUGCUCCUGGCUGCCCUAGGGGCGGUGACGAAGGAGGUGGGUCGCCGCUCUCGACACGGGCGAGAAGUGAUGCGGCCGUGUGGUGCGACGAGUCUAGGCAGUACCACCUUUGGGCUAUGUCCACCGGAAGGAAGUCUAGAAAAAACCAAAGACAGCUUAAACAGUCGACGAGUCUCCUCCACUCCGACAAUAAGAAAAAACAAACUACCCUCAAUAAGGGUUGAAUAACAAACCAGCUAAAAAAAGGACGAUGGUACCUGUCGGUCGGUGGUACCGGAGACUUGAAAACAGACAAGCACUCGAACCUCUCGACUGUGAAGCGAAAAAACACGGAUAUAAACCGGUGUAACAAAGAAUCGUUUAUAAGUAGUAGAUUGUAAUAUGUAUACUAAGAGACAAAACGGUGACGUCACCUUCACUCAUCUUAUGCAUCCCUUUUUCUUCUUCCUUUGUUGUCAGAACGUUCGAUUAUUUCUUUGUCAUCGAACGAGUGUUUUAAAGGUACUCACCAUUGCGAAGAGAAGUAUGUAUAUUAGACUAAAAGCGGUGAUUAUUAAUCUUUGAUGUCCUAACAUCUGUGUGACUAAAUAAACUCUCCUUGUGUUCACUUAAAAUGGAAUCAAUACGGUCAAGAUAAAAGAAAGUCUUUUAGGAAAAAUACCUAACUACCACCCUGAACCCUAAUUUGUAUAUGUACACACCUUCGAAGAGAAACGUAUUAAAACAAUGACUACGUAGAUAUAAAAAGGAGAAUUGAACCCCGAGAAAAUUUUUCCUUCGUGGAGUACACACUCUUAACCAACAUAAAUGAUAAAAGAUAUGUUGGACUUACAUGAUCUUCCCGGUUGUAAGUACUUUGAUAUUGGUCGGUAUCAUUAGAACGAUAACUAUAUAUGUGUGACUUUCAGAUUUCUGUACGAUCAUUUUCGAUGAAAGAAACUUUCGUCGUUAUGGUAAAUAUAAGUUACCCUGACGGUAACGGCGUGGAAACUAACGAAAAAUUAGAACGAUAUGUAUAUAUGUGUGACCUUCAGACUUUUAUACGACCCUUUUCGAUGAACGAAACUUUCUCCGUUAUUCCAAAUAUAAGUCGCCCUGACGUUAACACUGUGGAAUAUCGAUGUUGAGGAGAACUUUAACUUAACACUUUCCUACACAGUAUAACCUUCACUUUGACACACGUACAUUCGAGAUUAGUUCGAGAAGACCACUUUAAGUUGAAAAAAAUGCUGUAUCAUUGUGUCAAUACAAACUACCGGUACUUCCGUAGUUGUGUUUGUGCACAAAAAUUAAGUGAGUAAAUAACAUACCAAAACUUAGUACAAUCUGUGUAGGAUCAAAACCUUAACUUGACAGAUUUGUAUGUCUGUGGAUAAUAGUACGAUCGUGUGUCAAAAGCGGCUUGCUGAGGUGGCCGCUGGUGGUAGGAGGCACCUUGCGUAAGGGAGUAGCGCUCGAUCGCAUGAGAGGCUCGUCCGGAGGAGGGCCGUUCGAAGUGGCUCGUGGUUGGACGCCCAGGUGUAGGAGGUACAGGAGACGUUACUUCGUUGUCUCGUAGAUGGGAGGCGUUACAAGAAGGGGACCUAGUUAUCGCGACGGAGGAAAAGGGGAAAUAAACAGUCCACUCUAAAGUAUAAAACACGGAAAAAAGAAGGCUCGAUCAAGAUGACAGGAGUGGUUUUCUCGUCCGGUCGUUAAACCUUAUAGACUAUUUCAACAAUCGAACACGACGAUGCUUUACACAUUUUCACAUUAUCAGAACUUUACCAAGAUUUUUACCUUGAUUUUUUAUUUGUAUCUACUUGUGAUCAUGACAAUCAUCGGGAAGUCUAGCUUCCUGUUCCUGGUAACAACUAAUUAUUCACGUAUCGAAUUAAUCUAAGCGACUGUGGACUGAUUCAACAACUCAACUCGAUACCUCAAGUAAAAUUAAACUCUUCUUUCGAUUAGUAAAAUUCAGAAGUCAGGUGGACAAAUCAGGUGGACUGAUUCAACAAAUCAACUACGGGGUUUCAUCUUGGUAGAAACAAACACAACACACUUUAUGCUAUACACAUGUCUUGUCCACGACACGAAAAUACCAUAUCUACUACUGUAAGAAUGACGAUAAAACCAAAAACAUAAAAGACUUUACUGUACAAAGUCAAGUAAUAUAACACAACACACUACCGUAAGGAAGAGGUAUAACAUAAAGAACAACGGACAUGAUCUAUGCCCACUAUACGUAAAACAAUGAUGUAAAAAAGGAAUUAUCUUCAUAUGAAAGACAGCGUACAAUCCGUUAAAAUCACUUUGACCAGUUCUUAACUGUUCUCAUCCUACCUAUUUCGAUCUUCAUGUGUUCGUGUAUAACUACCCCAUUUCUUUAAGUAUUUAAACCCUUCACUGGACUGGACUAUCCGCCCCACCGAACCGCCGACGGUCGCUGAAGGCUCGUCCACCCGUUCUCGUCGUUAGAACUGGACAAGGCAGCCGCGUUCAUUAGCCAAGGAGCUACGAAGGAAAGUGGGGUGUCAUAUGUGCAUGUCACGACGUAAUGGAACAAUAAGGACCUCUGAGACAUGUUUACAAAUAGAGUCACGUUCUUUUUCUUUCUAAACUUGACUCGUACAAAACGGAUAAACGUGUACUGUCUAAAAACCGAAGCUCGAUCUUGAGUCACAAUUUGAGAUGAUAAUCAAAACCGAACGACGUGACAAUCUCCCAUAAGAGAAGUUACUUAAGAUAAUUUGUGUUCGAUUCUACGUACUCUAUGUCUCUCUUUAGUCAUUGGUUGCCAAUAAAGUAAUCAAAAAAGAAGAUAUAUGUAUACUAUAUGUGAUAUAUAUGCAUCAAAAAUUUUAACUACACCCGGACGGGGACGGAUAAACGUGUCUCAAAACGGAUAAACAUGACAACAUGAGACAUAUCAUAUCUCAAAACGGAUGAACGCGAUGGCAUAACACAUAUCAUGUCUCAAAACGGAUAAACAUGUGUCGAAACUGAUAAACAAGUUUUAUCAUGAUAUAUCUCACAACGGAUAAACAUCUCAAAUUGAGCCACGUUUUUUUACUAAGCUUGAGUCUCAUGAUUUAAUUGAGGUCUCUACUACGAUAUGUACAAAUUGAGUCAAAAUCAGUAACGAAAACGUUCAGUUAACAUGUCCAAGGACAAAAGGAAUAAACGUGUACUUCUAUAACAUACACAUGAAGUUUGUUAAGGACGAACUAGAUUACUACAUUGUAACGAACGUCACUACUACUUCACUACGUGUAAAUCUUCUCAAGAUAAAUACGGCUACUCAAUUUGACGUCGUACAGUUUUAGAAAUUACACGAUUAAAUUUUAGACUUUGCUCUCGAGGUAAAACUCAAAGAAUAAACAACGUCCAAAGGGAUGUCUUCAACUACCCCCAAAGCUUCUAGAAGUUCGACGACUUCUAAACCCUCUAAGCCUUCUAGAAAUUCGACAACUUCUAUACCAUCUCACUAAUACGAAACAAACACCUUGGAUAUGUGAACGAGACGAGUAAAACGGCCAACAAUCCGGUGUUAUACGAGUAAAACCAACACACCGUGGGGUCUUUGUAUACAAGAAAACACCGUGUGUACAUCUUUGUAUAUACAUAACAUGGAAAACACCGUGUUGGACGAAUAUAUAUAUACCAACAAUACAAUUAAAUAGCUUAACUGAAAUUCCAAAACCUAACUUCACAUACCUACUCUGU
rnacentral:rRNA from 1 species